CCUGUUCGUACUAUACUAUGUGGUUUGGUUUGUUCAGACGCUUAUUGGAUUGAUUUGUUUGGAGGUUAGAGAUUCCUCGAAAAUCUCUGCAAUAAUAAGUGAAGUGUUGUGGCUUAUCUCUUCAGUUCUUGAUCUUCUUGAAAGUUCCAGUUUUGCUCAUUCUUUGUGGUUCUUGUUAAUUGUUCUUUCCGUUAUCUUACUGUGUGAGAUUAAGGAGUACCAUUACACAUUAUAUUUCCGUUGAGAGGAAUUGCUAUAUGUGUCGUUCUCCAAACCCAGUCUGGAGAACACUAGCAAGUUUUGGAAGAGGAGCCCCUGAAUCUACAGUGGCGUCUAGGCAUUCCAACCCACUUUCCCUACAGUUUUGUGUAGGGCAAGACAACCACCUGUUUGAGAUAUAAUCAUCAGGUCUCGUUAUUUGAGGAGAGUCUCUCUCUCUCUCUCUCUCUCUCUCUCUCUCUCUCUCUCUCUCUCUCUCUCUCAGGAGCACCUUUGGUCGAAGAAGCAGGAGUAGACAUUUUCUAAUCUAAUCAAAUCACUACUCCCAACACUAAAAACACACAGCCUUUUCUGCAUUAUGCAAGCUAUGCACACAGAGCUUCUUCAUCAUUUGACUAAUGAACAGAGCCACACAAACUAUCUGUGGCACAGUCCCUAGCAUGAGUUGUCCCAAGUGCAAGUUUUUUAGAAGUUGCAAUGACGAAUUAUACUUCCAUUCAAACUUCAAAGUGUCUGCAAAGCUGAUUUCCUAUAGAUUUAAUGCCAGCCUUUUGCUGUAGCUUUGUAAUCUGGAAAUUCAAUCUGUUACAACAAGCAUUUUGCUUUAAAGUUUUUAUUCUGUAGAACUUCAUUUGUAAUCCUUUCUUCUGCAGAGUGUUAAGGCCAAGUUCUUCCAAUUUCA